CAGCCCGAUUUCAACAUGAUGACUGAAACUCGGCAGAGUCUACGGGAAGAAAAGACUAAAAGACAGAGGUAUUGUGUCAUAGAUACCAAUGACAACAUGAAAGGUAAGAGAAGAUCAAGGGCAAGAAAGCUGCAGCAGCUGCCUUCUCUAGCCUUCAGCCUGGCAGGCAUGGCCCAUGCAGAGCAUGAUGCUGCUCAAGUGUGACUGGAAUCCCGUCAAGAAAAACACAAAGACCAAAAAGGCAGAACUUCCCAUGGUGAAAUGAAUUGACUGACCAGUUCUCCUACUCAGAUAUUCUCAGGAAACAUUUCAGAUUUAGGAUCUUUAAGGUCAAAAAUGAGUUAUUCUCUUUUGCUUCUGGAGAAGUCCAUGUCCAGUAACUUUCUAGCUUUCACGGAUAAGGAAAGUCUUCUAUAAAAUCUGGCUCACAUUCAGAAACAGCUUUGACCAACAUAUCUGUGGGGGAAAUAUACAAAGUGAACCAGGCAGAAUCCUCACAGUGCUGAGGAUACAGAUGAUAAAAAGGCAGCAAUGAACGUGUCUCAGGAGUUCAUGUAGAGAGGACAUGCAAAGUGUGGCAAAGGGCAAUCCCUCAGGAGGACAGUCUGUGUUUACCAGGCAAAGAGCAGAGGGGGAGCCUUUAACACAGAGUUGACUGUCGUGGAAUACAACAGAUACCGUCAUGGAAGCAAAGACUGUGAUGAGUGUCAGGCCCAGUUUAAUAACAGUCAAGAAUCAGACAGUGGAUCCUCUCCCCUUCCUAAAUUGCAGAGCUGUAGAAGAAAAAUAGAUAGUCUUUGAAAGUGGCCAGGAAAGCUAUUCACGAUGAAAACAACAGAAGAGAGAUUGAACUCCAUUAAACUGAAUCAAAAGGUAAGAAAAAAAUGAUGUGCCUUUAUUGUAAGAGAUUAACUGGAUACCAUACCCAGAGCACAACACAGUGCCCAGCAUUUGGCACAACAGGUGGAACCUGGAAGGUAGUUCUCUGCUGUCCUACCUGCUCAGGAAGGAGACCCUCUGGACACUGGCACAUGGGAGAAGCCAUCCCCCCAAUUUAUAAUGAAUGAAUGUUGGAGUAAAUCUCUUCAUUAACCAGAUAGAGAGAGGAAUUUACACUCCCAAGUAAUCACUCAUCUCUUCAACCACAAAUACCCGAUAGACUCUGGUUCCGGACUAGUCUCUCAUGGGACAGACCUCUUUCUGACCUGCUGCUGAGUGCACGGAUCAUGAUGACAGGUAGACUCCUCAAAGCUAGUAGCCCAGAGCGAACCCAGCUACAGUUCUGGAAACCCAUGAGUGGUCUUGGCUGGUGAAACACAGUCCUUCGAGCAACUGAGGCAGGAGCCCAUUAAAGCUGUUAAUUUUACAUGCUGUGGCACAACAAGUUUAUAAAUAAAUAAGAAAUGAUCCCCACAAUUCCUUCCUCCGCAUUUCUCUGCACCUUGGCCACAGCGCGGGGGAUGGAGGGGGGUCCAGAUGGCCCUUCAAAAAAGAAAAAAAAGAAGAAGAAGAAGAACAAGGAAGAGGGCACAGCAAGAAAGGAGGCGUUCCUGUCACCAAGAUCUGAGGAUUCUGGUGCUGAUGCCUUUAGCAUUGGAUCCAGCUACUUUCAGGAAAUUCCCAUCAACUUGCCUUCCAUGGCUAGACAUGCUCAACUUGAAAUUAUCAUUCUAAACUGCAAGAGCAAAACACAGAUGUUAGAGUUUCAGAAAAAUGUACUGUUGGGGGCCAUUAGAAAAAAAUACUGUUUAAAAUAUAUAACAUAUGUAACUAUUAAAUACAUAAAAAUCUCAUGUACCAAGAGGCAAAAUAUGAUGAAAGUUGCUGAAUAUUUUAAGUACCUAUAUUGCUGCAUAAAAUGGUUUUGUGCUGUGGAAUUUUCUAUUGCAGGAGAUUUAUGAAAUUUUGUCAAAGUGGUAGAUCAUGCUGAAGUCAGGGGAAAUACUAGCACACUUUGGGUUGCUUUCUAUUUUUAAUUAAGUUUGAAACUGUAUCUUUGCACUUGUGAGUGUGCACAUAAAUAAAUGCAUGUAAGCGUUGGCAUGAUCAACACUCAUGCAGGUCUGUGCACUGUCCAGCUGCACUUGCAAGAUGACUCUCCCCGCUACAGCCCACUUGGGGCUCAGUCUGUGCACCCGUUAGAGUUGCUGUCAAAUGACAAAAGUCUACCUCCUCGCUCCUCACCCUCCCGCAUCCUAGGAAGAUAGAGUUAAAUAAGCCCCAGGGAGGGCUUCCUGACUUUCCAACCCGCAGACCUAAGCCAGGUGGAGUGUUUUGUGAGGCUGGCCAUAUUUACCCAUUCCUGAACAUGGAAAGGGGCUGAGCUUUAGUAGCUAACUCAAAUCCACCUGCUGCUGAUCCCAGAGUCUUGCUCAAAAGUACUCUUGAGAGUUAAGUUAUUUAGGAUACAAAACACUAAGCAAGCAUGAACUAACUGAAAGAACCAAGCCACAACAAAAUAGCUCAGAUACACACCGCUGCCGGCCUAGGGUGAAGAAAGAAAGAGAAAAAAAAAGCAGAGAAUUCCCAAGGAACGCCACUAGAGUCCUUUCUGUCCAUAAGCUGCCCCGAGCCCACCUCCAUUUCAGGAUCAGCUCCCAAUCUCGAUCAUUCCUGGAAUGCACAACCCAGCAUGCAAUCAUGUACUCUGUUGUCCUGUUCCCCUUCCUUUCCGUGGGCUUCUUUCUAUCCAAAUACAACUGCAGUUCUUUUUAUAGGUCAGUGACACUUUCUCUGGGGUCUACAGCUUUGGCAUACAUUGAAAGUUUUAAUAAUUGCUUCUUAAUUGCAGUUAUUAAGUCGUUCUGGGAUCCCUAGCAAUCUCCCUGCAUAUUUUCUCGUUAUACAUGAUUACGUUUCUACUUCUUAUACAGCUUAUUCUGUAACUUUUUAAUAUAAAACUACACACAGAUUCAGCUAAUAUUUUCUAACACUACAUGAAAUUCCACCACGGAGUCCUGUCACAAUGUAUUUAGAUAUGUCCAUAUGGGUACUCAGGUAAUUUGUUACAUUUGCUAGAAUGCUAUAAUGGCAAGUGCACAAAAUAAACACAUCUGUGUCCUUUUGUACUUGUGCUUUGAUUUCUUCAGACUUCAGGAGUGGGACAAAGUUAAUGGUUAUUUUGAAAGGUUUCAAAUUGUUGAAGAUAUUUCCAGUUUGCUUUCCUGAAAUGUUUCAAAGUCACCCACCAACAACACUUUGAGUGUUCAUUUCAGCACACUCUUGACAGUACUGGCUACUUUCAGCCUUUUUACAAUUUAGCAUCACAAAAAAAAGAGUUGGUUAAAACAGAAGGGAAAUGGGGAGAAAAA